rnacentral:rRNA from 1 species
GUUAAAAAGCUCGUAGUUGGAUUUCUGAUAGGGAGCCGAUCACCACUGUAGUGAGUGUUAGGUACCUGUCAUCCUUCUGUUAACUCUAGCGUCAUUCAUUUGUCGUUGGACGGACCAGAUACUUUACCUUGAGAAAAUUAGAGUGUUUCAGGCAGGCCUAGCCGGAAUACAUUAGCAUGGAAUAAUGGAAUAGGACUAUAGUCUCGUCGUUGGUUACGUGGACUGCAGUAAUGAUUAAUAGGGAUAGUUGGGGGCAUUAGUAUUUAAUAGCUAGAGGUGGAAUUCUCUAAUUUGUUAAAGACUAACUUAUGCGAAAGCAUUUGCCAAGGAUGUUUUCAUUAAUCAAGAACGAAAGUUAGGGGAUCAAAGACGAUCAGAUACCGUCCUAGUUUUAACCAUAAACUAUGCCGACUCGGGAUCGGGAGCGCGUGUUAUCCGCUUUCGGCACCG